AUUGAACGCUGGCGGCAGGCUUAACACAUGCAAGUCGAGCGAGCGGCGGACGGGUGAGUAAUGUCUGGGAAACUGCCUGAUGGAGGGGGAUAACUACUGGAAACGGUAGCUAAUACCGCAUACCAUCAGAUGUGCCCAGAUGGGAUUAGCUAGUAGGUGGGGUAAUGGCUCACCUAGGCGACGCUCCCUAGCUGGUCUGAGAGGAUGACCAGCCCACCUGGAACUGUGACACGGUCCAGACUCCUACGUGAGGCAGCAGGGGGGAAUAUUGCACACUGAGCGCAAGCCUGAUGCAGCGAUGCCGCGUGUGUGAAGAAGGCCUCCGGGUUGUAAAGCACUUUCAGCGAGGAGGCGUUACUCGCAGAAGUAGCACCGGCUAACUCCGUGUCAGCGGCCGCGGUAAUAC
rnacentral:rRNA from 1 species